rnacentral:rRNA from 1 species
ACAGCGAUGUGAUGCCAAUCCCUAAAGCCCCUCUCAGUUCGGAUCGAAGUCUGCAACCCGACUUCGUGAAGCUGGAUUCGCUAGUAAUCGCGCAUCAGCCACGGCGCGGUGAAUACGUUCCCGGGCCUUGUACCACACCGCCCGUCAAGCCAGUGGGAGCCGGGGGUACCUGAAGUACGUAACCGCAAGGAGCGUCCUAGGGUAAAACUGGUGACUGGGGCUAAGUCGUAACAAGGUAUC